AACGAACGCUGGCGGCAUGCCUAACACAUGCAAGUCGAACGAACCCUUCGGGGUUAGUGGCGCACGGGUGCGUAACGCGUGGGAAUCUGCCCUUUGCUUCGGAAUAACAGUUAGAAAUGACUGCUAAUACCGGAUGAUGUCUUCGGACCAAAGAUUUAUCGGCAAGGGAUGAGCCCGCGUAGGAUUAGGUAGUUGGUGGGGUAAAGGCCUACCAAGCCGACGAUCCUUAGCUGGUCUGAGAGGAUGAUCAGCCACACUGGGACUGAGACACGGCCCAGACUCCUACGGGAGGCAGCAGUGGGGAAUAUUGGACAAUGGGCGCAAGCCUGAUCCAGCAAUGCCGCGUGAGUGAUGAAGGCCUUCGGGUCGUAAAGCUCUUUUACCAGGGAUGAUAAUGACAGUACCUGGAGAAUAAGCUCCGGCUAACUCCGUGCCAGCCGCCGCCGUAA
rnacentral:rRNA from 1 species